UGCUGGGUGAGGAUUGGGUAAUCUGCAUCCUGAGGUUUAGAUUGCCAUGUAUUUUAAUGGAUGAUCUAGCCCUUGGGAUGCAGAUUAUCCCCUCCUCACUGGCA
rnacentral:pre_miRNA from 1 species